CGGAAGCAAUGUGAAACAAAGUGUCUUGCUCAAUAACACAACAUGCAGCCCGGUCCGGGAUUCGAACUCACAACCUCAUGAUUAUGAGCCCGUUGUUCUAACCACUGAGCCAUGUGUCUCCACAUGUACCUGUUGACUUAUAACUUAGUACUUACCACAUGUUACUUUAAUAAUGUGACCAACUCCGGCUGUCAUAGGCAACCCAGAACCUAGAGAACCCAGGUGUACAUAGACAAGUGUGUGAUAGAAAAGAA